rnacentral:rRNA from 1 species
AUUGAACGCUGGCGGCAGGCUUAACACAUGCAAGUCGAGCGGGGGAGGUUGCUUCGGUAACUGACCUAGCGGCGGACGGGUGAGGAAUGCUUAGGAAUCUGCCUAUUAGUGGGGGACAACGUUCCGAAAGGAACGCUAAUACCGCAUACGCCCUACGGGGGAAAGCAGGGGAUCUUCGGACCUUGCGCUAACAGAUGAGCCUAGUCGGAUUAGCUAGUUGGUGGGGUAAAGGCCUACCAAGGCGACGAUCUGUAGCGGGUCUGAGAGGAUGAUCCGCCACACUGGGACUGAGACACGGCCCAGACUCCUACGGGAGGCAGCAGUGGGGAAUAUUGGACAAUGGGCGGAAGCCUGAUCCAGCCGUGCCGCGUGUGUGAAGAAGGCCUUUUGGUUGUAAAGCACUUUAAGCGAGGAGGAGGCUCCUUUAGUUAAUACCUAAAGAGAGUGGACGUUACUCGCAGAAUAAGCACCGGCUAACUCUGUGCCAGCAGCCGCCGUAA